rnacentral:rRNA from 1 species
GUGUCAGCCGCCGCGGUAAAACGUAGGUACCGAGCGUUAUCCGGAUUUACUGGGCGUAAAGCGCGUUCAGGCGGUUUGGCAAGUCGGGCAUGAAAUCUCUCGGCUCAACCGGGAGAGGUUGUCCGAUACUGCUGGACUUGAGGGCAGUAGAGGGUGGUGGAAUUCCGGGUGUAGUGGUGAAAUGCGUAGAUAUCCGGAGGAACACCAGUGGCGAAAGCGGCCACCUGGACUGUACCUGACGCUGACACGCGAAAGCUAGGGGAGCGAACGGGAUUAGAAACCCUCGUAGUCC